CCUGAGGUUUGCUCAGGAGCCUGUGGCUUCUGCUGCACUAAAUAGCAGGCCAGAGAUCCUUUUCUUUAAGUCCCUGAGUGGUUCCACAAGGACCCUUUAAAUCUGCCACGUGGGGCCAGGUGGUGGCUCACCUGGUUGAGCGCACAUGUCACAGUGCUCAAGGACCAGGGGGUUGAGCCCCUGGUUCUUAUCUGAAGGGUUAAGCUUUUCCAGUGGUGAAGCUGUGCUGCAGGUGUCUCUGUCUCUCUCCCUCUCUGUCUCCCCCACCCCUCUUGAUUUCUGACUGUCUGUAUCCAAUUAAUAAAUGAAGAUAAUAAAAAAUAAGUGUUAAAAAAAUCUGCCACGUGAAUUUGAAGCAGUUGCAGACAUGGCAUCCUCCAGCAAUGCAGUGCCACCUCACUUCUUUAAGUCCUUCUCUUCAUACCCUCCUGCUGUCCACGCUCAAUCACCAGCCUUCAGAAGCGAUGUUCCUUUACCGGAAAUCCCAGUUGUUCUCUGAUGAAAUUCGCAGUUAUUUUGUUGUUUUAUUUGUUGUUAUAUUUAUUUUCUGGGAGAGAGCCAACUGUCCAUGGCUAGGUUGCCAUAAUUGCAUCCUGGAGUCCACAAUAACAUACUUAGUAAAAGUUGAGUGUGUACACAUAGAUGGAAGUCGUCCUCUCCCCCAAGAUCUGUCUGUACAAAGUAAGAGGCAUGCCACAGAUAAGCUCACUGGUUUGUGCAUGCAGAUGUAUCAGAACAGGAUCAGUAGACUUUAUUUGUAAAGUAAAUAUUUUCAGCUUCUGCAGGCCAGCCGCUUACUGUAAGUUGUAGCUUGACUAUUCAGUGUUGCCAUUAUCAUGUGAAAUCUGCCAUGGAUAGUCAUAAGUGAAUAGACGUGGCUGUGUUCCAGUCAUAGUUUAUUUUCAAAAGCAGGUGAGAGGCAGGAUGUAGCCUGUGAUCGUAGUUUGCUACCCCUGACCCUUGCUUACAGAGUGUAUUGUUUCUUUAUAUGACUUUCAUAUCAGGUAUUUGUGGAACCCAUGAAAUGACUCCUGAUACAGAGAAAAUGGCAUGUUUAGCAGUUGCCUAGACUAGUGACCCAUUAGAGCUUGUGACCCACAAGCUUUGCAUUCGACGUAUUAAGUAAAUAUUCUCUUAGGAACCUGUUGUGCAUAAUUUUUAGUAAUAAAGUUUAUUGUAGAACAAAAGGCAUUACUACCCUUUGCGUCUUUUAAAGAACACAAUUAUAAUGAAUCCUGUAUUAGUAGCCUGGAGUCUUAACAUAUUAGAGAACUCAUCAUUUCAUUUCAGAAUUAUCAUCUAGCCUAAUAUGCUUUUUAGUCAGUCUUAUUUCUGAAAAGCUUUGAGCUACUCUUAACCCUUGGGAAUCUAGAAUAUAAUAGGUUAAAAAAAAAGAAGAAGAAGAAAAAGAAG